UCCAUUUUAUUCCUUUAAUUUUAGUGUAGCUUAGAACAUUUCAAGGACAUUCUAUGUUUCAUUCAAUUAAUUGAACAGCCCAUAGUUUGGAUCAUCAGAAAAUGGUGCUGAAAUUCAGUAUGGAGGACGAGAAAAGAAAGAAAAAGGCAAUAAAGGACAUUGCACGAAUACAAGGCGUGGAAUCAGUUGCAGUGGACAAGACAGAGAAUACGAUAACACAUGGAAUCUGUGAUCCCAUGUGUUUUGCCAGUCUGUGUCAAAGGUAAACUAAGAAAAAUCGGGUACACAGAAUUAUUGAGCUUGGGUUCUGCCAAAGAAGAGGAAAAUGAACCAAAUGAAGACAAACAGAAUGAAGAUAACCAGCCAAAUGAAGAAAAUCCGUCACCAAACGUAGAAGAAAAUUCAUUGCCAGAGAUAUCUAUUCCUGCCCCAUAUAUUUAUUACUGCCAUUGCGAUUAUGUGAGAGACGAAAAUACCCACCUCUGCAUUAUCCAAAAGCCAAACAUUGGAUUAAUUUGGGGAGUAACAGUUUGCCAGGAAUUUGAAUGUUAUUAGUUGUGUUUUAGGAAUUGAAAUAAUGUAAAGAUUUCCAUUUCUUCA